GACGUAGGGCGCAAGCGUUGUCCGGAUUUAUUGGGCGUAAAGAGCUCGUAGGCGGUUCGUCGCGUCGGCUGUGAAAACCCGGAGCUCAACUCCGGGCCUGCAGUCGAUACGGGCGGACUUGAGUGUUGCAGGGGAGACUGGAAUUCCUGGUGUAGCGGUGAAAUGCGCAGAUAUCAGGAGGAACACCGGUGGCGAAGGCGGGUCUCUGGGCAACUACUGACGCUGAGGAGCGAAAGCGUGGGGAGCGAACAGG
rnacentral:rRNA from 1 species